rnacentral:sRNA from 2 species
GCUGACAGGCUGGUGCACAGGUUUCAGAGCUAUGCUGGAAACAGCAUAGCAAGUUGAAAUAAGGCUAGUCCGUUAUCAACUUGAAAAAGUGGCACCGAGUCGGUGCUUUUUUU